rnacentral:piRNA from 1 species
GUGUAGCUGUUUGAGGACUACAU